rnacentral:lncRNA from 1 species
CGUGAAAGGAAUUGUCUAAAAAGGCUGCAUUGACAGAAAUUUCCCCAGCUUGAGAUAAACCUGAUAAGAAGUUAAAAGUAUCAGAUACCUUUUAAUGGACUUUAGGCACGUCAUAUUUCUGUGGUUUCUCACAAAACGUGUCACUUGGCCCUAAGAGGCAUCGGCCGUUGUAUAGACGUAGGAAUUCAGUCCAGCUCUGGGGAUUUGGCUUUGUUUCUUAACCCGCAGAAGGCCAUUGCAAUGAGAAGUAAAAGAGCUGCUGUAAAGCCUGGAGAGUGACAUGAUUCCUGUGAACAGAUGUAAAAAAAUUUAGAGAUAUUUAUAAAUGGAAAGCAUUAUACACAUAAAAUGCAUUAUAAACAGGAUUGUGUUUGACUAUCAUCAAGGCACCUUCCAUUUAAGUGAGAAGACAAUCCCAUUUGAGGAGUUUCCAGUUCAGGCCAUCAUUCCUACAGGUAUUCCCACUGAAGCUGGUGUCAGAGUUAGAUUUAAGUCUUUAGAAGAUCACAUGCUUGAUAAGAAAUAAUAGGGUAAGUGAAGCAAAAGAACGAGAAACAAAAACUGCUUUCCUUGCAAGUGAUGGUAAUUUUUUUUUAAUUUCUUUUCUUGCUGAACAGUGUUCUUUUUAAGGUGCUAAAGAUAACUAAGCUACUGUAAGCCAUUAUUCUGAUUGUUUGUUCAGCACUCAAUGUGUAAUACGUAUUUUACAGAACAAAUAAGAUAAAUGCCCUUCCCUGCAGAGCUUGCAAGCUAAAUUUUGUCACAGGUGAGAGCACCAACUAGAAGAGAUCCAUAAAGAAACAUAGAUACACAAGGAAGCCUUUACAAGCCUCUUCAUUCCCUGGACAUCAAGAAGGCACAAGUGCCCAUGUGAUUACCUGCCACAAGGCUCUGUCUGCUGUCUGUGCAGCUCCUCUCAUUAAUCACAUUGGCAUACAUCGGUCCCUGCGGGAUCUGAUGGUUAUGAGCAGCAGCCACGUACAGGAUCCCUUUAUUUCUGCUCCUUGGCUAGUGCAGUCCAUGCAAACAGUUCUCUUGCAUAGGGAAGGUUUGCAUGAAGGUAGGGUCAUGCUCUGCUGGUCUCCUGGCUGCUCGCCAGCUGCCCAUAUGGUUGCCAGAAUGCAGCAUUAAUUUUCUGAGGCAGCAUGCAUCUGAUGUAUAGUGCCACGCUGUGUAAGUCAGCACACUACUGAAAGUUAUAAAUCCAUA